CUCACGCCGUUACCACGCACUUUCCCGAGGCUCCACACUGAUCUGGCCUCGUCCCGCCCAUCGCACCUGCUCGCCUCCACCGCCUCCUCCACAUCAGAGAAGCGCGUGUGAGGCGUCCUGGAGUUUUAGGUUCACUCGAAUUGGAAGUAAAGGGACCUAGUGCAUAUUUUCCGUGAGAUCACUACCACCACCACCACCACUACAAGACUACUACUACUACUACUACUACUACUACUACUACUACUAUUGGUGGUGGUGUUGGUGAUACAAUGACGGUCACUUACACCACCAAAGUCUCCAACACCAGUUUCUGCGGAUUUUCCAAGCUUCUGUUCAGAUGGCGUGGGAGUGUCUUCAAGUUACUCGCCGCUGACCUCCUUGUUUACUUCUUGCUCUAUUUCUCUGUGGCAGCCAUCUACAGGUUCGCCUUACGGGAGAAUGAGAAAAGAGUGUUUGAGAAGAUCGCCAUAACGUGUGAGUACUUCCGUAACGUGUUCCCGAUCUCCUUCGUGCUGGGUUUCUACGUGACAAUCGUGGUGCAGCGGUGGUGGGAGCAGUACAUGUUGAUCCCAUGGCCAGACACAGUGUGCAUCAUGGCCGCCACCUAUAUAGAGGGCCAGGACGAGCGAGGCAGGAUGUUGCGCCGCUCCUUCGCUCGCUACAUCAACCUCGCCUUCGCCCUCGCCUUCUCUAGGAUAUCGCCCAGGGUAGCAAGGCGCCUCUCCACCUACCAGAAGUACAUUGACGCAGGCUACAUGACACAGGAUGAGAGAGUGAUCUUUGAAAUGAUGGACGCCUGUUCACAACACCACAAGAUCUGGAUGCCUCUGGUCUGGGCGUCCUUCAUCGUGCGGCAGGCGAGGCGGGAGGGUCGCUGCCCAGACGACCACGGACAGAAGGCGGUGGUCACGGAGAUCACUAACUUGAGGUACAACUGUGGGAAGCUUCAAGAGUACCAUACCAUGAGUGUUCCUCUCGUCUAUACGCAGGUGGUCACGCUCGCCACUUACUCCUACUUCGCCUUCUCCAUACUCGGCCGGCAGUUCUUGGACCCGGCGCAGGGCUAUGAGAACCACUCCGUUGACUUCUACGUGCCAAUCUUCACGCUCUUCCAGUUUGUGUUCUACGUCGGCUGGCUCAAAGUGGCCGAGUCUCUUCUUAACCCCUUUGGUGAUGAUGAUGACGAUUUUGAGACCACUGAGUUCCUGGAUCGACACUUGGAGGUGUCCUACAUGAUCGUGGACAACAUGCACAAGCUCUACCCUGACGUGCUGCACCCGCCAGGCUCCAAGGAUCUCGCAGCGCCUCUCAACAACGUACUGGCCCGCCCCCGACCUGUAGAUUCCCCACCCAGCAAGGCAGCGUCACUCAGCGGGCAGUCGGAGGGAGAAAAGUCGCCUGUGGUUAAGACACAUGGCUGCUGGUGUUACUGUGAGACGUGGGUGUGUUGCUAGUGAGUGAAGAGUGAGUAGUGAGUGGCGAGUGAGGUGACGGCGUGCCCUCAGAGUCUGUCCCAGUGUUGCAUCCAGUGGCGGCGACGGGCAAGCAGGUGCAGCCGAGCCUCCCCCAUCCGCCACAACGGUGAUGCCUACCUCGAUACCUACGGCGCUGCAAAGACCCCGCCAGUACUGCACGGAAUUAGUGGACGGCCUGGU
rnacentral:misc_RNA from 1 species